UACGUAGGGGGCAAGCGUUGUCCGGAAUCAUUGGGCGUAAAGCGCGUGUAGGCGGCCCGAUAAGUCCGCUGUGAAAGUCCAGGGCUCAACCCUGGGAUGCCGGUGGAUACUGUCGGGCUCGAGUCCGGAAGAGGAGUGUGGAAUUCCGUGGGUGUAGCGGUGAAAUGCGCAGAUAUCAGGAGGAACACCAAUGGCGAAGGCAGCACUCUGGGACGUGACUGACGCUGAGACGCGAAAGCGUGGGGAGCAAACAGG
rnacentral:rRNA from 1 species